rnacentral:sRNA from 1 species
GGUGGUACUGAUUCUUAUCUGCUACUUCUAUGGAAUCCUCCUAUUCCUGUUCUUUGGGACUGUAACGAAACUUGGACAGUUCGUCUUUAAUAAAAUGAAAGAACAAAUAAAGAAGAUGCAGUUCUGGGACGUGAAGGAGGAAUGUAGUAAAUAUGACAUAAACCACAACGUCCGUCAUACGACGAAACACGUAUUUAUUGGGCAGCGGUGAAAUGUGACGUCAUCAGUAAAAAAAAUCUCAUGUGCCAAACACAAAUCAAAAAUAGGGCUUCAUUUUUAAAAUUGGGGUCAAAUGUGCAAUAGUUCAUUUUCCAUUAUCCCCAGAGCCGAGUCAAACUCGAGAGUCGUUAAAGAAUGAAUUUGUUACGAAGAAAAGCUUGGUAAAGUUGAAUCUCAGUAUUAAUCUUCCCGCCAUCAAGUGAAGGUCGCCUCUUUUCGGUGACGUCAUUGAUUGACCACAGAGAAGUUCACCCUCCAUAAUCCUGUGAGAACCCAUUCGAUAGAGAAAGAGAGACUUCUUGUCAUUCUGGUUGUGAUAUUCAGAAACUGACCAUGCAGCGUUGUAUUGGACGACAGCGAACUAUGACGUGAUGGAACUUGACGUAAUGGAACUAAGCAGUGCUCCUUAUUCCGUGAUACAAUCACCACUGACUGUCCAUUGUCUAUAGAUUUUAUACCAUGUUGUUUUUGUUAUACUUCGUUAUUAAACUUUUUACAUAUU